GACGAAGGGGGCUAGCGUUGUUCGGAAUUACUGGGCGUAAAGCGCGUGUAGGUGGUUGUCCAAGUUGGAUGUGAAAGCCUUGAGCUCAACUCAAGAAAUGCAUUCAGGACUGGGCGACUAGAGGACCGGAGAGGAUAGUGGAAUUCCCAGUGUAGUGGUGAAAUACGUAGAGAUUGGGAAGAACACCAGUGGCGAAGGCGGCUAUCUGGACGGUUUCUGACACUAAGACGCGAAAGCGUGGGGAGCAAACAGG
rnacentral:rRNA from 1 species